rnacentral:rRNA from 1 species
AUUGAACGCUGGCGGCAUGCCUUACACAUGCAAGUCGAACGGCAGCACGGGGGCAACCCUGGUGGCGAGCGGCGAACGGGUGAGUAACAUAUCGGAACAUACCCUAGAGUGGGGGAUAACGUAGCGAAAGUUACGCUAAUACCGCAUACGAUCUAAGGAUGAAAGUGGGGGAUCUUCGGACCUCAUGCUCAUGGAGUGGCCGAUAUCUGAUUAGCUAGUUGGUGAGGUAAAGGCUCACCAAGGCGACGAUCAGUAGCUGGUUUGAGAGAACGACCAGCCACACUGGGACUGAGACACGGCCCAGACUCCUACGGGAGGCAGCAGUGGGGAAUUUUGGACAAUGGGCGCAAGCCUGAUCCAGCCAUGCCGCGUGUGGGGAAGAAGGCCUUCGGUUGUAACACUUUGUC